rnacentral:rRNA from 1 species
GAUGAACGCUGGCGGCGUGCCUAAUACAUGCAAGUCGAGCGACCGGACGAUAAGCUUGCUUCUCUGUUGUUAGCGGCUGACGUGUGAGUAACACGUGGAUAACCUCCCUAUAAGACUUGGAUUACUUCGGGAAACCGGCGCUAAUACCGGAUAAUAUUUUGAACCGCAUGUUUCCAUAGUGUUAGACGGUUUUUCUGUCACUUAUACAUGGAUCCACGCUGCCUUAGCUAGUUGGUAAGGUAACGGCUUACCAAGGCAACGAUGCAUAGCCGACCUGAGCGGGGGAGCGGCCAGACGGGAAGUGAGAAACGGUCCAGACACCGACGGGAGGAAGCAGUAGGGAAUCUGACGGAAGGGGCGAAAGCAGGACGGAGCAAAGCCGCGUGAGGGAUGAAGGAGUUAGGAGCGGAAAAAGCUGUUAGUAGGGAAGAACAAAAGUGUAAGUAACUGUGCAGAUAAUGACGGUACCUAAAGAGAAAGCCACGGCUAACUACGUG